rnacentral:rRNA from 1 species
GAUGAACGCUGGCGGCGUGCCUAAUACAUGCAAGUCGAGCGAACGGACGAGAAGCUUGCUGCUCUGAUGUGAGCGGAGGACGGGUGAGUAACACGUGUAAACCGUCCUUAAAAUAGGGGGAAAUUUUGGGAACACGGUAGAUAAUCCGGUAGAAUAUUUUGAUCCGCGUGGUUCAAAGGUAAAUGCGGCUCUUGCGGUCGCUUAUGGCGGGUUCCGGGCUGCAUUAGCUAGUGGGUAAGGUAAAGGCUUACCAAGGCAACGAUGCGUAGCCGACCUGAGGGAGGGAUCGGCCACACGGGAACUGAGACACGGUCAAGACGCCUACGGGAGGCAGCAGUAGGGAAUCGGCGGCAACGGGCGAGAGCCUGACGGAGCAACGCCGCGUGAGUGAUGAAGGUCCUCGGUGCGUAAAACUGUGUUACUAGUGAAGAACAGAUGUGUAAGGAAAUGUGCACAUCUUGACGGUACCUAGUCAGAAAGCCACGGCUAACUACGUG